GGCCGCUGCUUGAUCAAAUCUUCUAUUGCCCUAGGUUUUGGUUCGCACAAUAGGAGUUACGAGUGUUAAGUUGUUUUCAGACCUUAAUGAUCUUGAUGGCCUGUAUAAAUUUACAAGUUCACUAAGAUAUAAUGGCGCUUCAUGUUUCACGGACUUGAAUACAUAUAAUAAUAUUUUGUAUUGCACCCUGUAUUGCACAGGCAGCCAGUGAAGAGACUCAAGUGUCGAAGUAAUGUGUUCGUAUUUCAUUUUUCUUGUCACCACUCGCGCAGCAGUGUUCUGAACCCUUUGUAGUCUCUGAAUCAUGUAAGCUGGUAGUCCAUAGAGUAAAGCGUUGCCAUAAUCCAAUCGAGAAAUGAUUAACGAAUUGACCAGAGUUUUACAUGCAUCCUCGUUGAUGUACGGACGUAUGCGGCCUAUAUUUCGUAUUUGAUAAAAACAUGAUCUCGAAACUGAACUGACUUGUUGGUGCAUUGACAGAGUCUUAUCAAAAUGAACGCCCAAAUUUUUAAUACACUCAGAACUUGUAAUGAUGUUUCCUUUAAAGGUGAGAUUGCAAUCCUUCAAAUCUUUCACUCGGUUUUUCGGAGCAAAUAGCAUCAGUUCCGUUUUGUCCUCGUUCAGUUUAAGCAUGUUUACACACAUCCAGGAACUUAUAUCGGCC
rnacentral:lncRNA from 1 species